AAAUGGGCAGUCGCGGAUGUGAUUUUUCACAGACGAGGAAAGUCCGGGCAUCAUACGGCAGGGUAACUGCUAACGGCAGCCGAGGGAAACCUUAGGGAAAGUGCAACAGAGAUAUACCGCCGAUUUUUCGGUAAGGGUGGAAAGGCGAGGUAAGAGCUCACCGGGGCAAUGGAGACAUUGCUGCCAUGUAAACCCUACCCGAUGCAACACCGACAGGGGAGUCAGCCGGACAGCGAUUUUUCGCAACCCCGAGGGGUGGCUUGAGCCAUUUGGCAACAAAUGGCGUAGAUAGAUGAUUGCCUUAAACGACAGAACCCGGCUUACAGUUUUACCU
rnacentral:RNase_P_RNA from 1 species